UGUCUAUUGGUGUGAUAAUUAUCUACGCUAUGGACAUCUGCAAUCAUAUGGGUGUGCACUGCUUCCAGCAGUCUGUUAAAGACAAUACAUGACAA
rnacentral:rRNA from 1 species